UACAGAGGGUGCGAGCGUUAUUCGGAAUUACUGGGCGUAAAGCGCACGUAGGCGGCUUGGUAUGUCGGGUGUGAAAUCCCCGGGCUCAACCUGGGAACUGCAUCCGAAACUGCCUUGCUAGAGUAUGGGAGAGGGAAGUGGAAUUUCCGGUGUAGCGGUGAAAUGCGUAGAUAUCGGAAGGAACACCAGUGGCGAAGGCGACUUCCUGGACCAAUACUGACGCUCAGGUGCGAAAGCGUGGGGAGCAAACAGG
rnacentral:rRNA from 1 species